rnacentral:tRNA from 1 species
UGUUCAGUGAUGGGAAUCGAACCCACAGUGUUCCGCUUACCGGGCAGAUGCCAUGUCCACUGUGCUACCCUGAAC